GUGCCUCUUGUUGUUGCUUGUUUCUUUUUUUGUGAACUCGAUCUUGGUUCAGAAAGCCAGUGGUGGCUGGAAAUACUUUGGCAACUAGAAUGACACUGAACAAGCUGCAAAAACGAAUUGGAAUAACAAAUAUGGAAUGACAUAUGUAGUAGGGGAUGCGGUUUGUAAGGGGGAGUUCUUGAAGGCUACAUGGAGCAACGUUGUG
rnacentral:lncRNA from 1 species